rnacentral:rRNA from 1 species
UACAGAGGGGGCAAGCGUUGUUCGGAAUUACUGGGCGUAAAGCGCGUGUAGGCGGAUGGGCAAGUCUGCUGUGAAAGCUCCUGGCUUAACCGGGAGUGGUCGGUGGAAACUGCCAAUCUGGAGGACGGUAGAGGUAGGUAGAAUUCCCGGUGUAGUGGUGAAAUGCGUAGAGAUCGGGAGGAAUACCUGUGGCGAAGGCGGCCUACUGGGCCGGACCUGACGCUGAGACGCGAAGGCGUGGGGAGCGAACGGG